CGAGGGGCAGCGGAGAGUAGCAAUACUCUGCCGGCGACCGGCGAAAGGGUGCGUAACGCGUGAGCAACUUGCCCGUAUCCGGGACAUAAGCGGUGGAAACGCCGUCUAAUUUCCCAUAACAACGAGGGCCGCAUGACCCAUGUUUGAAAGAUCCGUCGGAUACGGAUGGGCUCGCGAGACAUUAGCUAGUCGGCGUGGUAACGGCACACCGAGGCGACGAUGUCUAGGGGUUCUGAGAGGAAGGUCCCCCACACUGGAACUGAGACACGGUCCAGACUCCUACGGGAGGCAGCAGUGAGGAAUAUUGGUCAAUGGGCGCAAGCCUGAACCAGCCAUGCCGCGUGAAGGAAUAAGGCCCUAUGGGUCGUAAACUUCUUUUGUGGUGGAGCAAUAAGGUGCACGUGUGCAUCGAUGAGAGUACAUCACGAAUAAGCAUCGGCUAACUCCGUGCCAGCAGCCGCGGUAAUACGGAGGAUGCAAGCGUUAUCCGGAUUUAUUGGGUUUAAAGGGUGCGUAGGCUGUUCGACAAGUCAGGGGUGAAAGCCCAGUGCCUAACACUGGAACUGCCUUUGAUACUGCCGAGCUGGAAUACGGAUGCCGUGGGAGGAAUGA
rnacentral:rRNA from 1 species